ensembl:lncRNA
ACCUACACACCCUCUUCCCUAUCCCCCCAACCAAGUGUGACCCUGCUUGUGUACUGACUAGUAUCUGAGGUCAGCAGCAUGAGGGUGUGGCUGGCUUGUGGAAACGGAAUACUGAACCAAGCCUGACUGCACCCAAACCCAUGGCCCUGGUCCCUGGGAAGACCAGAGGAAAAAGUGCAGAACUUUCCCCUUUUGGAGUGCACAUCCCUUACGCAAGCCCUUUUGGAACGCACAUCCCUUACGUAAGCCAGCAGGAUGGUGUGCAUCUUCCCUCCAUAAACAGACUACAGUUUGUUCCCUGAGGCCGAGGGGGCCUCUGAAGAGUUGGCCCAGCGGCCCACCCUUCCAUCUGGUCUUCGGCCCAAGUAUGAAGCUUCUCCCUUGCUCAUCAUACUUACGACUUCCCUUGGUCACCCCUCUUACAGGUGCUUCUUUUGCUCCCAUCUCCUGCAUCUUACUAAAAACUACCCCCAGUCUUCUCAGGACCUAGGGGUGCAAGUGAUCUUACGUGGCUAAAAGCCAGGCCAUCCCAGAACUUCCGGGGAAGAGGCAUUUGGUUCACAUUCUCUCCCGGGAAUGGGACUCUUCAGUGCUGCCAGGAGGGCUCUUAGGAUUUACUUUUUUCAAAGCACAAAUAGACUGAGGCCCCAAAACACCAGCUAGAGACUAGAUCUGUUAACUGAAGAGUAGAUCAUACCCUGGCCUCACAGAGUCAGGCUGGGCCCUCUGAUACUUGUCCUCUUCCUCCAAAUGCCUUUGUAGUUGAGUUUGGGGUCUCCAUGGAUGACCUUGAGGGUUACUUUUUGCUCUUAAGUUUGCUUCUUGUCCUGUUCUAAAGGUUUCUCCAGGGCAGGCAGUUUUCUUGUCUUCACCACUGGUCCAUUUCUCUUUCUUCUAAAUUAGACCCUGGGAUUAGAUUUGUGUGACGACAUCUAAUACAAGUCUGAUUUUUGGUCUUUGACCAUUCAUGGCAGAGUCUUAUUCACUCGUCAGGCUUUCUGAACCAUAAAGAAGCCUUUCCAAAGCUCUGUCCUCAUAGCUCUCUUCUGGGUGCUCCAUCUCCUGGUUGACCCUCCACUACCAGGAAUGAUUCAGGGACAUCUUGUGCUUUCACUGGAGAGUUUGGAGGCCACUUUCCACAGCCUGAAUAGGGAGAAACUAAAGAACCCAUCUUUGGUCUCUUGGCAUUCAUUUCCCAUCUUAGCAAGAGACCUAAGUAAAGUCGAGGCUUUUUCAAAACAUGUCCUAGAAUCCCAGAAUGUCUAAGCUACCCUAGACCAGGGUUUCUCAGCCCUUAUCUAGACCCUGUUGACAUUUGGACCAGAUAAUUCUUUGUGGUGCAAGGCUGUCCUGUGCCUUGUAGGAGGUUUCGCAGCAUCCCUGGCCUCUGCCCACUANNNNNNNNNNNNCCCCAGUUGUCACAGUCCCAAGUGUCUCCAGACAGUGCCAAAUGUCCCAUGGGCCACAGAAUUGCCCCUGCUGAAAAAGCACUGCCCUGCAUCCACAGGUCACAGAUGCCACAUUUGACAUCUUCUUUUUCUUUCCAUUUUAUCCUGAAAAAGCUUCUCUCCUGGGAGCCUUGUUUCAGGCCAUCAAGAAACAGGUAGGAAUAUUACUCUAAUGUGACAUUUUGUCCGUGUUUCUUCCUGUUUCAGAGCUUCUAUUUCACAACAGAGUCUCUCAGCUACAAGUAUUCUUUCCUUCCUCCCUAGGGAAACUGGGGACAACUGGUUACCAACAUCCCUAUGAUCAACUCACACUGCUUAAAUAGCAUUUCUAAUUUGCCCUUGAUUCCUUAUUUCAUCUGGUUAAAAAAUGCCACCUAUUUUCAUUAUUUUUCAUAAGGUUAUUGUUCUCAUAAUCAGACCUUUGAUCAUUUUAGUGAAAUUCUUCUGACCUUCUGCUUUUAGUGUCAGACUCAAUGUUUUUUGUAGAAUUUGUAGAAACUUCUGGAACACUUCAUCUUUAAGGAUGGAGGAGAGAAGGAUUCAUUUUGUAAGAGGACAGCUAGAGUUUUUCUUUACUAAGCUGUAGGAGAGCACAGUCUACAGGCAUACCUUGGAGGCAGCACAGGCUUGGCUCCAGAGAACCACAAAAAAGCAACUAUCACAGUAAAACGAGUCACACAGUGCAUGUGAAAGUUAUGUUUACACUAUAUUGUAGUCUAUUAAAUGUGCAAUAGUAUGGCUGAAAAAAAAAUCAGUGCACAUACUUUAAUUAAGAUAUUGCUGAAAAAUGCCAAAACAAUUACAAUAGUAACUUAAAGAUCACAGAUCACCAUUAAAAAUAUGAAAAUAAUGAAAAAGUUGGAAUAUUGUGAAAAUUAUGAAAACAGGACACAGAGACACAAAGUGAGCAAAUGCUGUUGGAAAACUGAUGCCAGUAGACUCAUUUGAUACAAACCUUCAAUUUGUAAAAAAUUGCAAUAUUUGUGAAACGUGAGAAAACGAGGUAUGCCUGUGACCUCNNNNNNNNNNNNNNNNNNNNNNNNNNNNNNNNNNNNNNNNNNNNNNNNNNNNNNNNNNNNNNNNNNNNNNNNNNNNNNNNNNNNNNNNNNNNNNNNNNNGUGACCUCCUCCAGUUUGUAGAUGAGAGAGUUGAGACCCGGAGGAGACAUGACUUGCCCAGAGUCACGUGUUGGUCAGUGACAGCUGGCUAGGAAGGCUUUAGGACUCUUGCCACUUGAUCCUUGGCCUUUUGGUGGGGGUUGUUCCUCUCUGGUGCUUGGUGAGGAAGAGAGGGAGAGGAAGACCCUUCUUCUGCCAGAGCAAGAGCAUCCCCUGGGGCUGAUGCUGCUUCUUCUUGAGGGUCCUGUUGGGGAGGCAUCC